UGUUGUUGUGAUUUGGCGCUAUAUAAAUAAAAUUGAAUUGAAUUGAAAUGGAAAAAAAUUAAUAUUUUACUGCUGCUGCUGUUUUUGUCUUCAGAUCCUGUUGAUGUCUGAGGUAAUGAGGCAGAGCUAGAGAAAACACCUGAAAAGCCAUAACAGAUUAUUUGCUCAUGUCAGAAGAAUUCCAUCUUUAGCAUGUUUUAUUUAACUUUACAAGGCAAAGUAUUUUUUUGCAUCUUUUUGGAUUCUUUGACACCAGCGAAUUUGCAAUUGUGUGUAAACACCACCAUACAUCAGUCUUCAGGGGUUGUUGUUCAAAAUUGAUUUUAGUAUGCCCUGAUGUAACUAGUAUCUAAUAAAAGCAACGAGGUAGCCCCGUGAUGGACUAGCAACCUGUUCAUGGUGUUUUCUGCCUUCUGCCCUGUAACUGAAGGCAGUUCUGAGCAACAAUACACAGUAUGGUCAGUAAUCUUGUUUUGGACCUGACGAUUAAAAUUUUAAACAGAAAAACUUCCUUUUAUUUUUUAUUUACCCUUAGUGUAGUGGAUCAAACAUGAAGUAAAAGAAAACUAAAUCCUGAAAAGGAAAGAUUAGCAAUAAAUGGAUCUGAAGACCUCUGCAACCACUGCAAACAUGAUGUCAGACAUGAUCUCCCUGAUGUUGAUUUUAGACUAUGAUCCUUUUUCAUUGUUUUUAUUUUUUACUAACAGAACUGACCAAUGAUCAUAUUUAAAUAAUGUAACAUGUUUUAAAGUUAGAUAUUAACCCUCAUUUCACAAAACCCUGCACUUACUUUUAAAAGUAACGUACAGUAUAUGUGAAAUCUGUUUUUGUGAAAGUACAGAACACGUCAGAAAUCUUUUUGUAAACAAGACAGCAUAAGUAAAAGGUAUACAUCUACAGGUUGCAUAAGGUUUUGUGACACAUAUUAGGUCAUAUUCUGAGAAAUACAAGAUCAAUAACGCAGUUUCACAACACCGAGAGCAGGUCAAAGUUAACCUCUCAUACUUUCUCCAGAUAAUAUCAAUACCUUAAGUCAUAAUUCAUGCAGUGAGAUAACAAAGUGCUGUAAAACUGUUAAAUACACUUUUUGGCAUGCUGCUCAGAGAAUAGGGUUGUGCUCAUUAUGUAACCUGCAGGACUGCUGUGGUUAGGCAUUAAUUUUUGCACUCCCACAUACUAAUUGUGUUGCGUUGAAAAAUAACCAUUACGUGGACAGGUAGCAAAAAUGCUUGAAUAACAGCAAAACAAAACCGGUGAUAAUAGACCUGUUUGUUUUUCCAUAAGCUCUAAAUGCUCCUUUAACCCUUGUGACCUCUGGCAAGGCAGAUGGAGGCCAGAAAGCACAGCAAGCUGUUGUUGUAUUAAACAUGAUGAUGUCUAUAGACAUUGUCCUCUAAGUAUACUUCAGCUCACAUUCAACACAUCUCCAAGUGUUUAUGCUGGUGUAUGCAUCCGCGCACACACCAGCAUAAAAAUUACACUCUGUGUGCAGCUUUUCUGUGUCUCUCUCUUUUGAUACAUGUGUUUUUGACACUCAAUAGUCUGUUUGGUUGUCUUGUUUCGAUUUGCGCGUCAUGCCACUGAGCGAAGUCUGAAUAAUGGAACUGGCGGCGCGCUGGUGUCGGGUGAGACAGUGCCACCACAAAACUAGCCCGGCUGUUGUGUAAUCAUCAGGCUCACACACACGUGCCCCGUCUGUGUAUCACAAUACAUGGAACAGAUGGCGGGGAGGGUGUUAAAUAAACACAAAUACACACUCAUUAUCAGCUUGGGUUACAGACAGCUGCUGCCGCUCGUUCUGCCUUUGACAUAGAUGUCCUAUAAAAUCGCAUCCCGAUGAACACUUCACAUAGAAGGGUGAAAACCAAAUCACAGCAUGGCAACCAAACGAGUCAUUUCGGAUGCGGCGGGGUAUUGGGAGUGGACGGGUGGGGUUAAAUAAUGCGAGGGCUCAGCUUGUUCUAAUCACUCCCCUGAAUGGUACAUGCUAAAUCUAAAAUGCAAUCUGCCACAGCUGGCAAAGAGAUGAAAGGAACACAACAUUGUAAGUACAAUAGAUACAGUACAUCAGCACAUCAGUGAACGUGUACGUGCACAUUUGAGUCCAAAGACAUAAAUACAAGCACACAAAGACACUCAUAGCUAUACAGCGACUGAUCCUGGAAAAAGCAAAGCUUUAGGCCUGCAGUGCUUUUUCUUUCUGGCACUAAGCUCUUGUUCUGAUGCUGAGGAGCUCUUAACUUGACCAGCAUUAAUAGAUAGGCACUAAAUGCCCCACGUCUUCUAGAUUAUUUCAUAAUAUGUGGUGCAAAACUGUUGUGUAAAUGAUCAACUCCUUCCUACUUCAGCCAUGAGAGGAUAAGAUGUGAUAUGACACCCAUGACACAUAUUAAGUGUCAGAAAAGGAGGAAAAACAAAACAGCAGAACUUACAAUGAUUGCCUUAAUAUCCCUUGUCUUGUUUUGACUACCCACCCAAACCCCACCUCCCUGUGCCCCUAAAAAACACAAAACAAUAUUACAGAGAAGACUGGACCGGUGACUGUUUCCAAUUUCUGUUCAAUGAAUGACCUCAUUCUUUUCUCCACUACUCUAAAUCAAACACAGGCACCUAUGAGCACGUGGCACUUGUUUUGGAUCUGCUGCAUGUUUUAAACAGGACUCAUUUUAAUUUAUCUCAUCGCGCUGCUUUAGCUUGCCCCUUUCAAUCUUCCCAAAUGUUUGUGAACUUGUUAUAGUGAUUCAUAAAGGUCUGGCUAACUGAACUGCACAGCAAAACCAUCUGAUAAAUAACAUCCAAUGGUGUGUCAAUGCUAAACCAUUGAGUUUUAACCCUCACUCUGCAAUCUUUCACCAUCUCUGCCACCAGCUCUGAAUAUGACUCUUCCUUUGCCCGUCCUCACUAUAAAGUCAUGCCACCACUGCUGCACAACCAUACCAGUCGAUUAGCUCAAUGUCAGUGACUGUAACGGACUUUUGGACACAAUGCCCCCAUGGCGUUUGGUGCGCUAUUUCCCCACUGUCCCUACUCCAUCACAGUCACAUUGACUGAGCCAUCUGCACGGGCAGACACCAAAGGUCAACUUUCUGCAACAGCUCCCUCACUAAUGCCCUAGGUCUCUCUGCACUCAGAGCCCAAAGACAGUGGGGGCUAAAGCUUUAGUGCUGCUACAGCCAGUUCCUAGAGGGCCACCAGCUUCUCAGACCAACACCAUGUCCCGACAAGAUAUUUCCAUUAGGCACUGCAUUACCAUCACUCCGUCAAUUGCUUUCUCCAUGCACCUCAGGAAGUGGCUCUCUGUGGAGAAAGCACGGAGGACUUGCAAACACUUCUCCCUCCACCUUUCACAUCCCAGCAUGUGCUGGCCUGCAUUAGCACACUCGGAUGGGCCUGUUGCUGUGCAGUGGGGACAUGUGACAUUGAGAUAUCAGAGUUCUGCCACCCUGCCUCCACCCACCAUCCUCAUACACACACAUACAAACGGACAUUUUUCACGGACCUCUCUGGCCCUUCGUUCUCUAACCUACACCCAUCAAUUCUUGUUUUGCCCUUUGCAGGAGUCCAAGGGCGGAGCCUGCACGAGGUGAGGUGGCAAGUGCUACAUUUUUGACCUUCCACUUCAUGAGAUCGGCUUCAUUGACAUUCGGAUACAAGUCCUCGUUUCCACUGCCUCUCCCUUCCCCCACCACCAAGCCAGCUAUAAUGCCAAGCAUGUCGAAUCACUUUAGCAUCAAAAUACCAACAGUCAUCUCCCCCGUCCUCUCUCCCCUGCUAACUCCUUACCCCUCGCUUUCUCUCCCCCAACAACCCUGACUGUCCGUUUCCCUUUCUCUCCCCUCUGUUUAUCCUCCUCUGGGGGUGGAGGGGGACGCACAGAGUGGGAUGAUCUGUCGCUGCCACUGCCUUUCCAAAAUCCCAUUGACAAGGACAGAAGCAACUGACCAUAGUGA